rnacentral:rRNA from 1 species
AUGAUUAUGGUUACCCCUUUCUCUGAACAUUACUCUUUUAAUGUGGAAACAAUUUAUAGUAUUCAAGUCUCUUAUGAUACUCCCACUAUUCCGAAUGAGAAGGAUUUUACUUGUGUGGAGAGUAGUAAAUUUUCUAUGCUUGUAGAUCAUGGAAAGGAUGAUUUAGGUGCUGGUUAUAUUGUUGAAUUCAUUCAUGAUGCUACUGAAAAUUAUUAUGAGGGAGGAAUAUAUGCUUGUAGGAAUUGCAAUAAUAUCAAGUUUCCUCUCUAUGUGCUUAAAGUUUUGAAGUUAUGCUUGUUUUACCUUCCUAUGCUAGUUGAUUAUUGUUCCCACAAGUUGUUUGCUCACAAAAUCCCUAUGCAUAGGAAGCAUGUUAGACUUAAAUGUGCUAGUCAUAUUCUUCAGGAUGCUCUCUUUAUGUUUCAAUUCUUAUCCUUUAUGUGA